AACAGAACUUAGCCUGGAGCGUGUGUAACGUAAGUCAGCAGGUCUGAACCUUAGACUGUCUGGACCACCUCCUCAUCGCAGAGGUGGCGAUGCUGGGCCUGCCCUGCUCACACGGCUGAAGAGUAUCACUGGGAAGGAAGUGGGCUCGUGAGAUAAUCCAAUCCAGUGCUUCCCAGCCUUUAAUGAGAAAUGGUAAACCAGUGUGAGGAAGAGCACGGAUUCUGGAGUCAGACGGCCGUCCAGUGAUGGAAUUCUGGCUCUGCCACUAUCAGCUGUGAGUUGAGCAAGCGCCCUGAAAACUCUGUGACGUGGAAAUUACAACACGUGAGCACAGAGAACAGCACAGAGUGCAUUCCACAAAUGGUGGCUCUUGGCUGACCCAGACCCAGUGAGAGGCAGCUCUGCCCUGGCCCCAGGCUUUACAGGGCCCCAAUCCAGCCCCUACCCACUGGGGUGAGGACGUCACCUGGAGCUCAUGUGUCUUUCUGUAGACCACAUUCCAGGGACCUCGAGCUGCUGCAUGAAAAUUACAUGUUAGUGGUGGGAAAAAGAAAACAACAACACAAAAGUGGCUUUUCUUGACUAGCUGUCAGUAGUGGGAGGGGUGCUGCGGAGUCGGAAACCAUUUCUCCUGUGGCUGGCAGUUGCCACUUAUACGGAUCUACUUAUUUGGAGGAGAAAAGAGCUGACACAAAAGGCUCUCUCUGAAAUUCUGUGCGUAGAACAAAGCGGCACACGACGAGAUGUAGAAUUCCAUUAGAGGACGGCCCCAGCACUCGCUGUCCUUCACAACGACCACCCCACAGGCGCAUGAAUAGAAGCCUCAGCCACCCACAGCCUCAGUGCCCGGCAGCGUGUCUCCAGGAAGGAAAGGCCCGGGCACAAUGCAUUUCUCUCAGGUUUGGCUCAGCUUCCCCGGGGAUUUGCACCAUCACAGAGAAACCUAUCUCUCCUCCAGGGACCCACAGUUGGGGAGGCCACUCCAUGCUGUCACCCCUUCCUGUCCCUCUGAAACGUUUCUUCCUUCCACUCAUUUCUCCUAGAUGAAAUUUUAACUAGUA
rnacentral:lncRNA from 1 species